rnacentral:rRNA from 1 species
UUAAGCGACUAAGCGUACACGGUGGAUGCCCUGGCAGUCAGAGGCGAUGAAGGACGUGCUAAUCUGCGAAAAGCGUCGGUAAGGUGAUAUGAACCGUUACAGCCGGCGAUGUCCGAAUGGGGAAACCCAGUGCAAUUCGUUGCACUAUCGUUAACUGAAUACAUAGGUUAACGAGGCGAACCGGGGGAACUGAAACAUCUAAGUACCCCGAGGAAAAGAAAUCAACCGAGAUUCCCCCAGUAGCGGCGAGCGAACGGGGAGCAGCCCAGAGUCUGAAUCAGCUUGUGUGUUAGUGGAACGGUCUGGAAAGUCCGACGGUACAGGGUGAUAGUCCCGUACACCAAAAUGCACAGGCUGUGAACUCGAAGAGUAGGGCGGGACACGUGGUAUCCUGUCUGAAUAUGGGGGGACCAUCCUCCAAGGCUAAAUACUCCUGACUGACCGAUAGUGAACCAGUACCGUGAGGGAAAGGCGAAAAGAACCCCGGCGAGGGGAGUGAAAAAGAACCUGAAACCGUGUACGUACAAGCAGUGGGAGCACCUUUAUGGUGUGACUGCGUACCUUUUGUAUAAUGGGUCAGCGACUUAUAUUCUGUAGCAAGGUUAACCGUAUAGGGGAGCCGCAGGGAAACCGAGUCUUAACUGGGCGUUAAGUUGCAGGGUAUAGACCCGAAACCCGGUGAUCUAGCCAUGGGCAGGUUGAAGGUUGGGUAACACUAACUGGAGGACCGAACCGACUAAUGUUGAAAAAUUAGCGGAUGACUUGUGGCUGGGGGUGAAAGGCCAAUCAAACCGGGAGAUAGCUGGUUCUCCCCGAAAGCUAUUUAGGUAGCGCCUCGUGAACUCAUCUUCGGGGGUAGAGCACUGUUUCGGCUAGGGGGUCAUCCCGACUUACCAACCCGAUGCAAACUACGAAUACCGAAGAAUGUUAUCACGGGAGACACACGGCGGGUGCUAACGUCCGUCGUGAAGAGGGAAACAACCCAGACCGCCAGCUAAGGUCCCAAAGUCAUGGUUAAGUGGGAAACGAUGUGGGAAGGCACAGACAGCCAGGAUGUUGGCUUAGAAGCAGCCAUCAUUUAAAGAAAGCGUAAUAGCUCACUGGUCGAGUCGGCCUGCGCGGAAGAUGUAACGGGGCUAAACCAUGCACCGAAGCUGCGGCAGCGACACGAUGUGUUGUUGGGUAGGGGAGCGUUCUGUAAGCCUGCGAAGGUGGCCUGUGAGGGUUGCUGGAGGUAUCAGAAGUGCGAAUGCUGACAUAAGUAACGAUAAAGCGGGUGAAAAGCCCGCUCGCCGGAAGACCAAGGGUUCCUGUCCAACGUUAAUCGGGGCAGGGUGAGUCGACCCCUAAGGCGAGGCCGAAAGGCGUAGUCGAUGGGAAACAGGUUAAUAUUCCUGUACUUGGUGUUACUGCGAAGGGGGGACGGAGAAGGCUAUGUUAGCCGGGCGACGGUUGUCCCGGUUUAAGCAUGUAGGCUGGUUAUCCAGGCAAAUCCGGAUAAUCAAGGCUGAGGUGUGAUGACGAGGCACUACGGUGCUGAAGUAACAAAUGCCCUGCUUCCAGGAAAAGCCUCUAAGCAUCAGGUAACAUCAAAUCGUACCCCAAACCGACACAGGUGGUCAGGUAGAGAAUACCAAGGCGCUUGAGAGAACUCGGGUGAAGGAACUAGGCAAAAUGGUGCCGUAACUUCGGGAGAAGGCACGCUGGUGUGUAGGUGAAGUCCCUGCGGAUGGAGCUGAGACCAGUCGAAGAUACCAGCUGGCUGCAACUGUUUAUUAAAAACACAGCACUGUGCAAACACGAAAGUGGACGUAUACGGUGUGACGCCUGCCCGGUGCCGGAAGGUUAAUUGAUGGGGUUAUCCGUAAGGAGAAGCUCUUGAUCGAAGCCCCGGUAAACGGCGGCCGUAACUAUAACGGUCCUAAGGUAGCGAAAUUCCUUGUCGGGUAAGUUCCGACCUGCACGAAUGGCGUAAUGAUGGCCAGGCUGUCUCCACCCGAGACUCAGUGAAAUUGAACUCGCUGUGAAGAUGCAGUGUACCCGCGGCAAGACGGAAAGACCCCGUGAACCUUUACUAUAGCUUGACACUGAACAUUGAGCCUUGAUGUGUAGGAUAGGUGGGAGGCUUUGAAGCGUGGACGCCAGUCUGCGUGGAGCCAACCUUGAAAUACCACCCUUUAAUGUUUGAUGUUCUAACGUUGGCCCCUUAUCGGGGUUGCGGACAGUGUCUGGUGGGUAGUUUGACUGGGGCGGUCUCCUCCCAAAGCGUAACGGAGGAGCACGAAGGUUAGCUAAUCCUGGUCGGACAUCAGGAGGUUAGUGCAAUGGCAUAAGCUAGCUUGACUGCGAGCGUGACGGCGCGAGCAGGUGCGAAAGCAGGUCAUAGUGAUCCGGUGGUUCUGAAUGGAAGGGCCAUCGCUCAACGGAUAAAAGGUACUCCGGGGAUAACAGGCUGAUACCGCCCAAGAGUUCAUAUCGACGGCGGUGUUUGGCACCUCGAUGUCGGCUCAUCACAUCCUGGGGCUGAAGUAGGUCCCAAGGGUAUGGCUGUUCGCCAUUUAAAGUGGUACGCGAGCUGGGUUUAGAACGUCGUGAGACAGUUCGGUCCCUAUCUGCCGUGGGCGCUGGAGAAUUGAGGGGGGGCUGCUCCUAGUACGAGAGGACCGGAGUGGACGCAUCACUGGUGUUCGGGUUGUCAUGCCAAUGGCACUGCCCGGUAGCUAAAUGCGGAAGAGAUAAGUGCUGAAAGCAUCUAAGCACGAAACUUGCCCCGAGAUGAGUUCUCCCUGAGACUUUAAGUCUCCUGAAGGAACGUUGAAGACGACGACGUUGAUAGGCCGGGUGUGUAAGCGCAGCGAUGCGUUGAGCUAACCGGUACUAAUGAACCGUGAGGCUUAACCUU